GUAACGGCUCACCAAGACUACGAUAGAUAGGGGGCCUGAGAGGGUGAUCCCCCACACUGGUACUGAGACACGGACCAGACUCCUACGGGAGGCAGCAGUGAGGAAUAUUGCGCAAUGGAGGAAACUCUGACGCAGCCAUACCGCGUGUAGGAAGAAUGUCCUAUGGAUUGUAAACUACUUUUAUACAAGAAGAAACC
rnacentral:rRNA from 1 species